rnacentral:rRNA from 1 species
CCGCGUGAGUGAAGAAGGCCUUCGGGUUGUAAAGCUCUUUUGUCAGGGAAGAAACAGCAGCUCUAACACAGUCUGCGAAUGACGGUACCUGAAGAAUAAGCACCGGCUAACUACGUGCCAGCAGCCGCGGUAAUACGUAGGGUGCAAGCGUUAAUCGGAAUUACUGGGCGUGAAGCGUGCGCAGGCGGUUAUACAAGACAGGCGUGAAAUCCCCGGGCUUAACCUGGGAAUGGCGUCUGUGACUGUAUAGCUAGAGUGUGUCAGAGGGGGGUGGAAUUCCACGUGUAGCAGUGAAAUGCGUAGAUAUGUGGAGGAACACCAAUGGCGAAGGCAGCCCCCUGGGAUAACACUGACGCUCAUGCACGAAAGCGUGGGGAGCAAACAGGAUUAGAUACCCUGGUAGUCCACGCCCUAAACGAUGCUGACUAGUUGUUGGGAAUCUACAUUCUCAGUAACGUAGCUAACGCGUGAAGUCAGCCGCCUGGGGAGUACGGUCGCAAGAUUAAAACUCAAAGGAAUUGACGGGGACCCGCACAAGCGGUGGAUGAUGUGGAUUAAUUCGAUGCAACGCGAAAAAGCUUACCUACCCUUGACAUGUCACUAACGAAGUAGAGAUACAUUAGGUGCCCCGUAGGGAGAGUGU